rnacentral:rRNA from 1 species
UACGAAGGGGGCUAGCGUUGUUCGGAUUUACUGGGCGUAAAGCGCGCGUAGGCGGUCUGUUAAGUGGGAUGUGAAAUCCCCGGGCUUAACCUGGGAAUUGCAUUUCAAACUGGCCGACUAGAGUACGGUAGAGGGAGGUAGAAUUUCCUGUGUAGCGGUGAAAUGCGUAGAUAUAGGAAGGAAUACCAGUGGCGAAGGCGGCCUCCUGGAUCGAUACUGACGCUGAGGCGCGAAAGCGUGGGGAGCAAACAGG